rnacentral:rRNA from 1 species
GAUGAACGCUAGCGGCAGGCUUAAUACAUGCAAGUCGAGGGACAGCACAGGUAGCAAUACUGGGUGGUAACCGGCAAACGGGUGCGGAACACGUACACAACCUUCCUUUAAGUGGGGGAUAGCCCAGAGAAAUUUGGAUUAAUACCCCGUAAUAUAGUUGAAUGGCAUCAUUUGAUUAUUAUAGCUACGGCGCUUAAUGAUGGGUGUGCGGCUGAUUAGAUAGUUGGCGGGGUAACGGCCCACCAAGUCUACGAUCAGUAGCUGAUGUGAGAGCAUGAUCAGCCACACAGGCACUGAGACACGGGCCCGACUCCUACGGGAGGCAGCAGUAAGGAAUAUUGGUCAAUGGACGCAAGUUUGAACCAGCCAUGCCGCGUGAAGGAUUAAGGUCCUCUGGAUUGUAAACUUCUUUUAUUUGGGACGAAAAAGGGUCUUUCUAGACCAACUGACGGUACCAGAUGAAUAAGCACCGGCUAACUCCGUGCCAGCCGCCGCCGUAACAC